rnacentral:rRNA from 1 species
GACGAACGCUGGCGGCGUGCUUAACACAUGCAAGUCGAACGGAAAGGCCCUGCUUUUGUGGGGUGCUCGAGUGGCGAACGGGUGAGUAACACGUGAGUAACCUGCCCUUGACUUUGGGAUAACUUCAGGAAACUGGGGCUAAUACCGGAUAGGAGCUCCUGCUGCAUGGUGGGGGUUGGAAAGUUUCGGCGGUUGGGGAUGGACUCGCGGCUUAUCAGCUUGUUGGUGGGGUAGUGGCUUACCAAGGCUUUGACGGGUAGCCGGCCUGAGAGGGUGACCGGCCACAUUGGGACUGGGGUACGGGCCAGACUCCUACGGGAGGCAGCAGUGGGGGAUAUUGCACAAUGGGCGGAAGCCUGAUGCAGCAACGCCGCGUGCGGGAUGACGGCCGUCGGGUUGUAAACCGCUUUCGCCUGUGACGAAGCGUGAGUGACGGUAAUGGGUAAAGAAGCACCGGCUAACUACGUG